CCUACGGGGGGCAGCAGUGGGGAAUAUUGGACAAUGGGGGAAACCCUGAUCCAGCGACGCCGCGUGAGUGAAGAAGUAUUUCGGUAUGUAAGGCCCUAUCAGCAGGGAAGAAAAAAAUGACGGUACCUGACUAAGAAGCCCCGGCUAACUACGUGCCAGCAGCCGCGGUAAUACGUAGGGGGCAAGCGUUAUCCGGAUUUACUGGGUGUAAAGGGAGCGUAGACGGCAGGGCAAGUCUGAUGUGAAAGGUCGGGGCCCAACCCCGGGACUGCAUUGGAAACUGUCCGGCUGGAGUACAGGAGAGG
rnacentral:rRNA from 1 species